rnacentral:rRNA from 1 species
AUUGAACGCUGGCGGCAGGCCUAACACAUGCAAGUCGAACGAGUGGCGGACGGGUGAGUAAUGUCUGGGAAACUGCCUGAUGGAGGGGGAUAACUACUGGAAACGGUAGCUAAUACCGCAUACCAUCGGGUGAGCCCAUAUGGGAUUAGCGAGUAGGUGGGGUAAAGGCUCACCUAGGCGACGAUCCCUAGCUGGUCUGAGAGGAUGAACAGCCAAACGGGAACAGAGACACGGGCCAGACUCCGACGGGAGGAAGCAGUGGGGAAUAUUGCAACAUGGGCGCAAGCCUGAUGCAGCCAUGCCGCGUGUAUGAAUAAGGCCUUAGGGUUGUAAAGUACUUUCAGCGGGGAGGCGUUACCCGCAGAAGAAGCACCGGCUAACUCCGUGCCAGCAGCCGCGGUAAUUC